AUAGUUCAGUGGUAGAGAACAUACCUGGCAUGUGCAAGGCUCUGGGUUCAAUUCCCAGU
rnacentral:tRNA from 1 species